UAAACUACGAUUAGAUACCCUAUUAUUUUAAAUGUGAAGUAUUUAUACUUGAGUAGUAAAAGUUAUGGUCUUGAAACUCAAAGAAUUUGGCGGUGUUUUAGUCCCUUCAGAGGAACCUGUUCCAUGAUCGAUAAUCCACGAUAGACCUUACUUAAUCUAGUUGUCAGUUUAUAUAUCGCCGUCGUCAGAGUGUCCUAUAAGGGUUUGAAAUACUCUUUAGUUUAAAAGAUAAUUUAAAAAGAUAAUUUAGAAGAUAAUUUAUAGAAGGAUGUCAGGUCAAGGUGUAGCUAAUGGUUAAGCGGAAAUGGGUUACAAUAGAGAUAUUUAUUACGGAUAAUAGUUGAAAUAACGAAAUUGAAGGUGGAUUUGAAAGUAAUUUUAUAUAGUAUAAUAUAUUGAUCAUAGGCUCUAAAACAUGCACACAUCGCCCGUCGCUCUUA
rnacentral:rRNA from 1 species